UAUGGAGGCAGAAGUGAGAAAUAUCAGAGAUGUGGACCUAGAAUCUUUAUCUCAUACCAUAUGACACCUAUCAGGACUUUUUAGUCUUCCACAAUUGAACUCAGUUCCUGGUGACAAUCCACUUCAACAGUCACAGUCUAUGCAACAGAGAUCAAACGCAUUAGCAUCAGUGGCCUCAGUAAUAUUUUCUUGGCCUCACGUCAUUGACCCAUGUGCAAGUACUGAGUGCAUCAAAAUGCAGUUGCGACUCAGUUGGCAAAACUGAGGAAAUAGGAACUUUCCCGGAUGAUUGAAGAAUCAAGUUGUAUAGCCCAACAGAUGACAAUUUGACAAUGAAGCAACCUCCCUCUGUAAUAUCUGGGAUGUUAUGCCGAAUGAAACAUUAUUCUAUUGACCAUUGGCUCUGUGUUCAGGAAGUCUGCCUAGAAAAUGUGUAUCUAAGGGGUCCAGACCUGUGACUCAGGGGAAAGCAAGUCAGGCAAUGAAUAAUUUAGAACAGACAAGCUGGCAAGCUUUGGAUCAGCUCAUCCACUUAUGAAAAAAAGCAGUUGGAAUUUUGAUGUGGAUUACUGUAGAUCUGCAAAGCCAGUUAUUUGGG